rnacentral:rRNA from 1 species
UAGGGAAUCUUCCACAAUGGACGCAAGUCUGAUGGAGCAACGCCGCGUGAGUGAAGAAGGCUUUCGGGUCGUAAAACUCUGUUAUUGAAGAAGAACGUGUGUGACAGUAACUGGUCAUGCAGUGACGGUAUUCAAUCAGAAAGUCACGGCUAACUACGUGCCAGCAGCCGCGGUAAUACGUAGGUGGCAAGCGUUGUCCGGAUUUAUUGGGCGUAAAGCGAGUGCAGGCGGUCUUUUAAGUCUGAUGUGAAAGCCUUCGGCUUAACCGAAGAAGGGCAUCGGAAACUGGGAGACUUGAGUGCAGAAGAGGAGAGUGGAACUCCAUGUGUAGCGGUGAAAUGCGUAGAAUAUAUGGAAGAACACCAGUGGCGAAGGCGGCUCUCUGGUCUGUAACUGACGCUGAGGCUCGAAAGCGUGGGUAG